AAAACUCUUCAAAUUACAAUACUCGUAGAGAGAGAACCGUAAUAAAUGCAAAGAAGAAGCAUCUUUUAUCCAGUAGCGAAGGGCUUGAACCAAGAUUUCUAGAUGGAUGGGGUAAGGUAUUAGUAAUCUAACGCAUAAUUUAAAUGUGAGAAUUUGUCCUUUAAAAAAGGAAAUAUUGAAUGAAUAGAUUGUAAAUUAUGAGAUUUUGCUACUUCUUCCUACGUUACUAAUUGUAAAGGAAAAUGGAAUUUCCACAAUAGAACUUUAAACCCAUUUUCUUAGAGGGUUACGAAAAUAAAAAGAUGGGUUUCUUAAUAUCUCCGAACAAAUGGGAUCAAGGAACUCCUUUGCAAGGACAGGUCCAUUACAAACGUUUAGAUCCUAAGUCAUUAUUAUAUCAUUUAUCAACCCCAAUGCAAACAAGAUUGGGGACUCUUCCAGAAAUGCCUUCACCAGCUAUCAUAAACAAACUCUUCUAGCAAUUCUUGUUAUUGUAAUAAAAUAUAUCACAUCUAAGAGAUGGUACUCAUACCUGCCCUUGAGAUAAAGUAAGGAGGAAGCUCUCCAAGUGCAGUCCCGAUACCCCACAAGAUAGCCUCCAUCUGCACCUGCGGCAGGAUGCUGCUAAUAGGAACCCUUGACCCAUGUGAUGAUGAAAACGAUGGGGGCCCAAACUCUCCACAGGAUUUGUCCAGCCAAGAAGGAACUGUCUUCAACUGUAUCGUAUCAUAUGGAGCACUUUUCAGGUCUAUUCGUCCACAUUGCAUGGCUUUUAUUGUAAACAAGGCAAUAUGAGGACCAAAUAAAGGACAAAAGUGUGCAGACCAGAUCCUGGAAUAGGAAAGGUGAAGUAGAAAAAUAACAAAUCAGAUCAAGGCAUAUUUCUUUUGGUGCCCCAAAACAUAGCAAAAUAAUAACAGAGCAGUAUAAACAUUUAAUCAGAUCAGAUUCCGAACACUUCCAUUGGCACAAAUAUAGGCAUAGCAGAAACCAGACAAAAUGAUUUCCUCUCUUUCAUCCCUGUAAAACGGUUAAAACACAUGUGUACACCAUACACAACAAUCUUGGAAACAAUCAUUAAAGUGCUACUGCUAAUGCUAAAAUUAUCGCAGUUAGCUUGUUUUUGGGCUAGAUUUGAUGAAAACAGAUCAUGGCGACCUAAGUCACUUAAAAAUUAAAAGAUAACAAUAAUUAGAAAGAAACCCAUCUAAAAGAUUAGACCUAAGUUUCAAUGCAGAAGAAAUUGAACAUUUCCAUAAAUACCAUUUUGGCAUCUGCUUAGUCAGCCAAUGUUAGUAAGAAGAAUUUAAAUGGCCUAUAAUUUAUACUGCUAUAUCAGCAACAGAAAAUCGCUGAUUAAUCAUGCUUUAUUUAUCAAGCAUACUCCUCCAGACAUCAUAAAAGAUCAUGAAAUCAAUGACUUACCAAGACCAAUUGAAGAUGCAACACCAAGUGCAAUCCACCAUAAUCCAAACUGAACAUACCGAGAUGCUUCCUGGACAUGCUGUUGAAAAAUGUAAUCAAACAUCAACUGUUAAUUAUUGUUUCCACUAAUCUGGUCAGAAUAAAUGAUGAAGAAUAAGAAUGAAACAGAAAUUAUUUCAACUAAAUAAUGUGCACAAACUUAUCAUAAUCACCAUAGAAAAUAAAAAGGUUCAAAUACAUAUGGUUCAUUAAAAGACAAUAAGAACUACCAGAGCCCUACCCACCAGUACCCCAACCCCCCCCCCCCCCCCAAAAAAAAAAAAAAAAACGAAAGGAAUACAGCAACCAAGGACAAGACGCCAACGAAACAAACCAAUAAUGGGCCAUUUUGCAUUUCUCAAUUGGAUAGGUAAAUGGAGCAGAUAGUGCACAACAAUCACCAAUUCUAAACAAAUAAAAAAAGCUUCUCAUCAUAUACAAAUGCUUGUUGUACAUCAACAGAAAACUAUAACAAAGACAGAUGAAAAUACUAGGAUAACCUGCAAAUUUAAUUACCUUUUCAUGAGGGCCCUCCAAUAGUCAUAAGCAAAAUUCCAAGAGCUGCUACUAGAGAGCUUAAAAGCAUAAGCCAACCACCCUUUGCCAAAAGAUAUAAUACUGAUUGCUUACAAUAUUGAAAGAUAGCCAGAAUGAAAAGCCUUAAUGUUUUGAAGGGCUGUGUUGUCAAUGUUAAAUUUUCUAAUUCUUGCCGAUGUCUCUCACGAAGAUCUGCAAAAUUUAACAAGUCUAUCAGCUGUGGGUUUAGAAGAACUCAAUGGCUCAACAUUUUCUCUUUAUACUAAGCAUCAAAAUAAAGCUCAUAUUAUUUAACAUGCCUGCAUAAAGGAAACUGUCAUAUCCACUUCUAAUUCAUUUACAGAGGAAACAAAAAUCAAUUAUAUGACAAAAACAACAAACAUUCCUGCACUAACUACUAGGUAUAGGAGUUUUAUAUAUUCUAAGAACAGAAUCUCACAUAAGCAAAUAAACUGAUUAAACAGCAACAUUGCACUUGCCAAUAUUACGAAAAAAGGCUGUCAACUUUAUAGAACAUUGAUAAUAUGGAUCUGUACCAAUUUCACAGAUGGUUUGCUCACAACUCUACACAGAUUUAAUUAAGAAAGCCAUGGCUCUUUUCUCUAUAAAAUCCAAAAUUUAAACAAGAAAAAGCAAACAAAUUGAUCUAUAUGUUUCAUGUUGAUCUUAUGAAGGGAAGAGAGAAUCAAGCCAUGGUUACUUUCAACAAGAAGGGAAGAGAAUUUUGAACCAAUCUUAUGGAGGAGAUUAAGAUAUCCCCACUCUUGUGCAGAAACUUAAUGGAUACAACAGCAUAGAUAAAAUAGAUGAUUCAACGAUUUCACCAUUGGUAGAGAAUCAACCCAGAAAGAAAUGUAUACAUGAGGGUGCAUAUUUUCCACCAUUUUUCUGGACACACCAAAAUGAGUCCUAAGUACCUACGUCACAAUCUCCAAGUACUUGCUAUUAUCAAUCCAAACUUAGCUUCUAUUUUCUUCCUCCCCCUACAUUGUUGCAGGAAGAACCCAAAUCCAUAUAACACCAAAGCUCCCAAAACUACAUAUUGCACCAAAAAAAACCACCCCUCAAGAUGGAAAAUUUUCAAUUCCACAAUUUACAGAAGCACCUGCCAUAAGAUAAACCAUACUUCCCCGCUAAUCAAAGAUUGAACAUAGAGUGAAUCUUCCAACAAAUUGACACACCCUCAUAACACAGAAAAGAAAUGCUACACUAUUUCUUUUUUCUUUAUGCAUCUUUACCAGAAAUAAAAGGGCAAUCUAUAUAAUAUAUGAUGCACAAGCCCUGAACCUUAAUGUUCAAAAAGUAUUCAACACUUGCCUUCUUGCACCAUCAAACCCAAACUCCAUUUAUUUCUAGUCUUGCUUAUACAUUGAGCUCGUUUCAUUCGUUCUAAUAAUUAAUCAACCGGUUUCUAGAGGGACACGGUUAACUUAAUUAUUGAUUUUUAGAACAAUUAAAUCAUAAUUAAUCUAAUUAAUAAACUAGAAAAUUUCAUUAACAACAAGAGAUCUAGGAAAAACCCAACUUGAUUCGAGUUCGUAAAUAAAAUUAAAUGGGCAAAAAAAAAAAAAAAACCCAAUGACACGAAAAGGAAAAAUAAUAGUAACAAAAUCAAAAUUUCAGGAGAAAAAAGAAUUACAAAAGUAAAAAACUUGCCUUCAAUCGACGUAUCCAUUUUGUUUGAGAAGAACACGUCGCGCUUUGCCUGACCCCAUCCCCACACUCACAUACUACGACUAAACAAAACCCCUUUUUUCAAUUUCUUCAAUUAAUUUGGAAUUUUCGUCAAUAUCGACCGCUUUUCUGAAAAAAAAAGCGUUGAUUUUGAACAAGGAUCUGACGACUAUAAUCUAAUAACAUGAAAAGGAAUCAAGCAUUUUUCUUUUCAAUCACGAAUAAUAAUAAUAAUAAUAAUAAUAAUAACAACAACAACAACAACAACAAAAAUUUAUUUUUGAAAUAAAAUUGCAGAUCUAGAGAAGAAGAAAUCAAGAGCGGGAGAGAGCAAUUUUGGGCUGAAGAUCUCUCCUGAGUUCUUGCUUUGAGCUUUUUUCUCUCUCUAUUCUCUCCUCCAGUCUGUGAGAAAACAACGAGAUUAGAUUUCUAGUAAGUAUAAUCUUUGUUUUUUAAUUUAAAAAAUUGGCUUUCCUUUUAGCAAAAGUUUAAAUGGAAAGUAAAAUUACUUUGUCGCUCAUUGGUGUAAUUCUUAAAAAAAAUAAAAAUAAAAUAAAAAGAGAUAAUUUAUAUAUUCUUUAAUAUUGUUAACAUAAAAUAAACUAAAAUAUUCUUUUUUUAAUAUUAAUAAUAAAUAAAAAGAAAAGAAAAAACUUGAAAAUUGUAGACUUACUUAAAAAAAAAAAACAAAUUUAAAGAGUUUUCCUUAAGUGUUUUAUAUAUUAUAUAUAUAUUAUUAUAUAUAUAUUAUAUUUUUUUGCUUAUCACAAUCUUUGCUACAACCUUCAAUUCUAAAAAAUUUUGGUUUUUUACUAAGUUUACAAUGAAAAAAAAAAAUUCAUUCAUUCUUUCGCUUUUAAAGCAUCAUUGGAAUGAAAAAAAAAAUUACAUAUCAAAAUUUGUAAUAAAUUAUAAUGAAGUUGGUUUGAGCAAAUUAAGAAAAAUUAAAAGAAAAUUUGACAUUCGGGAUGAGAAAAAAUGGGUUGGUAAAAUGUGAGAUAAGACGAAGAAGGAUAAGAAAUUGAGAAAAAAAAAAAAAGGUAGUAGGAAUGAAAUAAUCACCAUUAUUUAGAAACGUGCCCGCUAAAUGAUCAUGAAUGUAGGAGGAAGACAAUAGCGAUGGUGAGACGUGAAAAAGAAGGAAAAAAAGAGAGGUGUUCAAUACGUGAUUUUUUUUCUUUUAUAAUUUUAGUUGUCAUAAUGUUUAGAUUCGGAAUCUAUUAUUAGACAUUGACUUGAAAGAGUAGUCACAAUCUUUUUUAUUUAGGUGCGAUUGAUCACCUAAAGAAUCUAGCCUUUCAGAAAACACCUAAGUUUAAGGGUCCUAAAAGAAUAGGUUCAGGUCUACUAAUCAGAACAUGGUUCGAGAGUUCGGUUACGUGUGAGGAAGGUUAUAGCACCCUCACAACGCCCAUCAAAAGAUGGUACCAGCUUAAAUUUGUGUUAUCCAAUGAGCCUUAAAAUUUAUCAAGUGAUUAAUUAUUAAAAAUUAUUCUCAAUUGACUCUAAUACUUUUAGCAUAAAAUUAAAAAAAUUUUCUCACCUCAGGAGUAUGCAAGAAAAAUUAUUGUUUCACUUGCAGAGGCUCUAUCGUCGGAUUAUUUAACAUUAAAAAAAAUAAUAAAUAAAUAAAUAAAUAAAUAAAAAGGAAGAAAAGAAUGAUUGUUUUUGUGCAAGAAAAAUUGAUACUUUCAACUUUUUCUCAAAAUAUCUUUUGAAACUUUAAUUUCUAAGAAAAUUGAUACUUUCAACUUUUCCUUAAAAACUUUUUUUGAAAAUUUAUUUUAAGGAAAAAUUGAUACUUUCAAACUUUUUUUUCAAAAAAUAUUUUUUUUAUGGAAAGCUUAUUUUCAGAAAAUUGAUACUUUCAACUUUUCCUCAAAAUCUUUUUUUUUGAAAAUUUAUUUUUAAGGAAAAUUGAUACUUUUAACUUUCCUAAAAAAUAUUUUUUUGAAAACUUAAUUCGAAGAAAAUUGAUACUUUCAACUUUUUCUCAAAAUAUUUCUUUUUGAAAAUUUUUAUUUUUGUAAAAAAAAUAAAAAUAAUACUCCUGAAAAUAACUAACACAAAAAAACAAAUAAAUAAAUAAAUAAAAUACCAAAAAAAAAUUAUCUUGACUUGAAAAUUCGACGGGCUCUACUAGAUUGUCCAAUUAACUAAUUCUGCUGUAUAUUUGUAGCAUUUGUCAUUGUCCUAUUAUGUUUGGCUGCUGCAGCUGUUGUUGUGCCUAUGGACUCAACAGGGUUGAAGUAGGUGAGACAAAUGGAGCCUGAAAGAGUAGGGGUGAAGAUGUAUGAAAUUAGGCACUUGGUUUUGAAUGCUCAUAAGAAUAACCUGGAAGUUGGCCACUUGAGAGAUUUGUUUGAAGAACCCCAGACUAACACCGAUUCCCUAUCUCAUGUUCACAUCAUUUAUAUAAUCCAUUUCAUGCAGCUGUUUUCGUUGCUGUAUCUAAAUCCCUUAACAACUGCAGCAACUACCAUUGUUUUAAUAACAAUUACUAAUAUUACAGCUGCUAUCAAUAUGUUAACGUGGAUUCCAAAGGAAAUGCACAUGAAUCAACAUCCCAAUAAUGGCUGAAAGAGAGCAGCAAGUAAUUACGGAUUGCUCAACUUGUUCGAGUGUAUGCUGAUUCAGAUCAAAGGUUGAUAUCAUCACUCCUAGCAGCAAAUGAAGCCCAGCUCAUCACCAAGCAACAAGCAAGUAAAUGCUGCGGAUGCCAACUGAUAGAGCUUUUUAGUCAACGAUUUAGUCAUGGAUAGUACUCCUUGAAGGACACCGGAACUGCCACCUAGAACUGGAAGUAAAGUAACAGCAAACCCACAGCAUAGUCCAUAGGAUAAGAAUUUAAAUUGUCGCCUGACCAUGAAGGGCACUUAUACCAUUCCUUUCCAUCAAAAAUUUUGAAACCACUGCUAUAGAAUACGUAGAUAGGAAUGCACAAACAAAAACCCCCUCAGAAAGUUUACCUCCACAUAACUCUAAGGACAAACAACUGCUCGAACAACACGAAGCUUUGUUUGUUAAAACUCCAAGCCUGAUACGUGAAUCCUUGGUUGCAUAUUUUGGUGUAAUUGAUUGGGCUGUUGUUGCAAACCCAAUUGUUGCUGCAGCUGAAUAGAUUGUAAUUGGCAUCUGUGACAUCAGAUGCUGCCUUUCGCAUCAUCCAAUCUGUGCUCCAAAGCGUUCAUGGAUGCUUUGUAGCAAAGGAUUCCAAGCUUUGAGGUGCAAUUGCUCCACCCUGUGACAAACUCGCCACUACCGGUAAAAGGAAGCCUUAGCCAUAAAAUUUUGAUUAUUCAAUAGCUUGUAAAUCCUUGGACCAUAGCUUCUGAAAAGCAGCCAAAAGAGGAUCAGUUGCACAUUCCACCAUCCUUAGCCAUACACAAUGCUCGACGUAACAAAAUGGAGCGUAUUUUCCAACGUGUUUUCCAGAACCUGGUCCAGGUACGACGACUAAAACUUUGGGUGACCCACCAUCCAAGCAACUGUUAGCUGAAACUCUUCUUGAAGCAACUUGCCUAUUUCUGAAAAGCAUUGAAUGCGAGAAAAUCCCAAUCAUCAGACAUUCCAGAUCUUCAAAGAAGGUCUCUUUCCCCUCAAACCUGGAGUAAUUCCAUCAGAUUGGACAAAAUCUUGGUCUUUAAUAACUUUUUGGGUCAUGGAUGGAGAGGUCACCCACCAAAGAGAGGCCUUGAGGGCCUAGCGGCAACGGAGGCUUCCCCCUUUGUUUUUGCUUCCCUCUCUCCUAUUCGAAUUUUUCUUCUAUCUUUUUUUUUUAUUUUUCUAUUACUGUGAAUUGUAAUGAUAAUAAAACCAAGUGAUUGUGUUUCGGUUUAAUUCCCAUUAGUUUAUCCAAUGCUAAAGAUUUAGCAUCUAAUUAUCGCUUUCUGAUCAUCAUCAAACUUAAUCUCAAUCUUUUUUUUAAAUAAUCAGAUAAUAAAAAUAGAAAAAGAAAAAUAAACAAUAAGUAGACCAUAAAUAAAAAUAAAAAAAUGAUAAAUAUGAAAUAAAAAUCUGAAAUAAAAAUAAAUAAAAAAUGAAAAAAUUUACAAUCGAGCUUUGAUCGAUUUUAAUUGACAAAAGACUCCGGACAAAAAUGGGGUGUCUACAGCUGUCCUUCUUUGCCACAUUUUUUGUGAAACAAAAAUUGUGCAAAGACGUAGACAACCCAUUCAAGACUCAACUGGAAUUAUUUUUUUUUUGCCUAUUUUAUUUUGCUUUUUUUUUGUAAUUUUGAUCAAAGUUCCUCUAAGCAGAGGCUCCAACGACUUUGAGAAACAUAAAAAAAGCUCCUCUAAACAGAGGCUCAACUUUUUCUUUUUGUUUUCUUGCUCUCUUUUUUUUUUUUUAAAUUGAUCAAAGCUCCUCUAAACAAAGGCUCAACGACUUUGAGAAACAUAAACAAAGCUCCUUUAAACAGAGGUAAUUUUUUUUUUGUUUUUUUGUUUUUUUUUAUUUUUUUUUCAAGCUCCUCUAAACAGAGUCAACGACUUUGAAAGUAAAUUGUCCUCUAAACAGAGGCACCACGACUCUGAAAAGUAAUUGCUCCUCUAAACAGUGGUACCACGACUUUGAGAAAGUAAAUUGCUCCUCUAAACAAAGGCACCGCGACUUUGAAAAGUAAAAUUGCUCCUCUAAACAAGGCACCACGACUUUGAGAAAGUAAAUUGCUCCUCUAAACAGAGGCACCACGACUUUUGAAAGUAAAUUGCUCCUCUAAACAGAGGCACCACGACUUUGAAAAGUACCAUGACUUUGAAAAAUAAAUUGCUCCUCUAAUAGAGGCACCAUGACUUUGGAAAAUAAAUUGCUCUCUAAAACAAAGGCACCUACGACUUUGAAAAAUAAAUUGCUCCUCUAAACAGCAGAGCACUACGACUUUGAAAGAAAAUUGCUUCUGAUAAUCAUGUCCAAAGGAGUUAUAGAUGCGUGAUUGAAAAAAAUUUUAUACUGAAGAACUCAAAGAUUCACAAUUUGAGUUCAACAUUCAUAGGUUUAGAUUCGUAGAACCUUUCAACUUCGUAAGAAUUUACUAAAAAUUUGAUUAUCAAAAAUUUCAGUUUCAUUCAAAUUUGUAAGAUAUCACAGAUUUGCAUUUGCAACUUGCAAGACUCGCAUCAAAGAUCCUCAUUUAAAUUUUGGAGACUCACAUCUAAAAGUUCAAGGCUUUUCAAAGGUUCUCGUUUGCAAACUUGGAAUUCAUAUCCAAAUAUCUAAAGCUUUUCAUUUGAAUUUUGGUAAUUCACAUCAAAAAAUUCAAAGCUUUCAUUUGAGUUCAAAGGUUCACAUGCAAUAAAACUUAGAGUUUCACAUCUAAGUUCCAAGAUUCUCAUUUAAAACAUUAGAAAUUCAUAUCCAAAAGAUGAAGCUUUGUAUUUUGGAGAUUCACAUCCAAAAGUUCAAACUUUUCAUUUGUUCGAAGAUUCACAUUCGACAAACUUUAGAUUUUCACUUCUCAAAGAUUUUAUUUUGAAACUCAAAGAUUCUCAUUUGAGUUCUUAAAAAUUCUCAUCAAAAUAUUCAUAAUUUUUUUUUAAGUGACUCAACAAUUUGCAUGAAUGAAUGUUAUGACCAUAGAUACAAAUGCCUUUUAAUGAUGCAAAUGCGGUGACCUAUAUUCUCAUAGUGCCAUGCAUGUCCCAAACAAAGUUUAAUUCAUCAAAUUAUGUGUAUGUACUAUUCAAGCAAUGAUGCCACCAUGAUGCAUGUAAUGCGAAUGUUAAUAAUGUCAUGAAAUCCUAAAUAAUUAUGGUAAUAUGGCUCUCAAAACUCUAUCAUUUCGCAUGUCUUUCUUGUUCAGUUUUUCAAUACUUUGAAAUAAGUUUCAUCAAUCGAUCAUCACUUGACCACCAUUCAUAGACUUCUCAACACUAAAAAAUUUCAGAACAAGUUUCAUCCACCAUCACUAAGUCAUUACUUAUAGGUGUUUAACCAUUCCAAAACAAACUUUGUCCACUGAUUAUUUUCAUCAUUCAAUCAUAACUUGCAAGUCAUAUCGACCAAUUCCAUCCUUGUACUCAUCACUUGGUUAUACCAUUUUUCAAGAUUGCUCCAUCAUAUCUCUAUUUGGUCACAUCAUAUAUCCUUUCAAAUCAUCUCUUUUAGGUUUUUACCAUUUUUUCAUUUUGUUACCACCAUCAUCUUAGAAUUUCUUUUCAAAUGAAUGCAAGACUCUUUUAAGCACAUAUUCAUUCAUUCAUUAUCAUUUCAAAUCUUGACAAACAUAAUGCAAUCAAGCAUUUUCUCAAUUCAUUCUAGGGUGUAACAAAUAAGAGAACACAAGGUGAAUUAUGGAAAGAUAAUCAAUGAAGAACUAUUUUGGUACAAAACAAAUGGGAAGGAAAUAAAUUGGAUACAUGUCAUAAGGAUGAAUGGUAUGUCCAAACGAUGAAGAUUCAGACAAUUUUCAAACAUUAAUCUAGGAUUCUUUUUUCAAAAACUCAUUCCAUUUAUGUUAGAGUCAUUUUGAACUUGAUGAACUUUGCCCCAGUUUUGAGGGGUCUUCAGAUGUCUUUGAUCUUCCAUCCAUGUGAACCAUUUGACCUGGAUCUAUCAAAAUCACCGUUUCAGGUUUUGCAAUUUGAAUAUCUUUUUUCAUUUUCUCAUUUUUUCUUCUUUCUUUCUCAUUUUUUUCUUUUUUUUUCUAAUUUUUUUCAUCAUUUUUUUUCUCAUUUUUCAUCCAUUGUUGAUAUCUUCCAUACAUCCAACUUUAGAGCAAUGUAGCAUGGUUCCCAUUGUUUCAUCAUGAGCAUGCCUUCGCUUAAUAUAUGAUCAUUCAGUUAAGCAAUUCACACUUGAUCCAAAAUGGGCUUUUCAAGGUUGUAAUGUAGGUCAAAGUGAGGGGUCAUAAAAGAAAUAGAUAUAAUAGGCUCAAAACAUGUAUUAAAAAGGUUUCAAAACCAAGGAUUAUUUGAUGUAACUUGAUAUUUUGCCUCACAUCAUUUCACUAUUUUUUUCUUUCCUCACACAAAGGAUUCUCAUUAUUUUUACCCCCAAAUAUUAUGUGGCAUUUAUUUUCUUUUGCUUUUCUUUCUCUUUCCAUCUUUGAGACCUUUUGUGAUAUAUAUAUAUUUUUUAAAAAUUAUCUUCCAGUGUAGAGGGUGAUCUUUGGUUGGGGUUCUUUAAAAAAAAAAUAAAAUUAUAAUAGGCCUCAAAAGGGGUAACAAUAAAAUGAUUUUUCCGAAUGGUAAAAAAAAAUAUGAUCAUUUUUUAUCUCCAAUUUGUGAAUGCCUUUCUUGACAUUCAUCCUAUUGAACAAAGCUCAUAAACUUGUAUAAAGAUUAUACAGAUCUUCAAGAACAUAGUCUAUUUUACCUUCAGUACCAGCUUACUUUUUGCUCAAAUCAUCUUCUCAUAUUAAUGUGGAUGAGUUCUCAAAAUUAAAUCCCAGAAUUAUUGUUAUCAUUGUCUAAAAUAUUCAUCAUUCAAAAUUUGAAAAUGGGAAUGUUAAAGUUAUGAAAGGUACAGGCCAUGGAAUAAUGGUCGAGUGAAAGAGAGAAAUUCAAUGAAAUGCAUUAACUUACCCUUAAGUAAGAUGAUAACAAGUGAAAUCAUAUGCAGAAAGAAAUCCUAACAUUACUUUAAAAGAACUCUUAGAAUGACAAGUGGCAUUUAACCAGUUUUAACAUCCUCUUUAAAAUCAUGCCCCUAGACAACCAGGUGAAGGAUUUUUAUCUCGUCCCAUUGAUUCAUUGUGACUCUUCAUAUUCUUGAUCCUCAAACAAAAUGAUUGGGCUUUUUUUGUCGAGUUCUAAAGAUACAGGCUUGAUCAUUUAAGCGGCUGCUUCCAUUAUCAUGCUCCCUGUUGUAUUGCUUCUGGUAAAGGUAAUCUUAUCAACAUUGGGAUGAUAUGCCAAAGGAAUCGUAACUUUUAGGCCCAAUCCAGUUAGAAUAUUCAAGACAUCUGGAGGAAAACCAACCUGCCUACAUACGUUAACCAGCUCCAAACAGGCGAUAGGUACCAAUUCGAAAGGUUUCAGUAUUGUAACACAAUCUGUAACCAAAGCAAGAGCUACUUUUCAGUUGACCAUCAACAGUGGAUAAUUUCAUAGAGUAAUUAAUCUAACGACCCCAAGUGGUUCCUUAAGCACAUAACUCUUAAAUGUCUUAAUAGGAAGAGAGAUAACAACCUUUUACUUUACAUCUAAACCUUUAGCAAGGUACAUAUAGUACUAAAAACAUCCAGCAACAUCAUUAAUGUCCCAAGUUGCUUCAUCAAGUAGUUUCCCGUAAUCAAUUACUCAAGCUUUGCUAAUUCAGAUUUUCUCUCUGUUAUCUUGGAAAUGAUGGCCCGUAAAUACUUGGCACGAACAAUGCCAGAAGUUGAAGCUCAUUCCAUCUUUGAUUAACCGUUGCACCUCAUGCUUUAGAGUAGUGUAAUUUUUAAUGCAAUGGCCAGCAAUUCUAUAGUAGUAGUCAUAAUGAGCUGUAGGAUCCUACCAUUUAGGAUGAGGUGAUUUAAGUGGGUCACAUGGUUUGAGGCAAUCAGGUGGUUAUUAUAGAGCUCUCAGUAUAACUCCGUAUAAGUCAUGAGGAUUGGAUCAAAUACAAGUUUUUCUCGAAUAGUCCAUUACUCUCGUGUACCACUUUUUAAGCUAAUAGGAUGAAUUUAGGGUCUUACAGGAGUUUGACUGUUAAAGCUGUAUAUAAGAGCUUGGGGGAUAAAAAUGGACUGGUAUAUGGAUGAAUUAGGUGGUUGUGAGGGCUAGUUGGUAUGGAUAAGAUGAAGCAUUGUUCACAGUAAGAUAGUAUGAAGAGUAAUAUGAGGGUAGAUAGGGUUGAUAUCCCCUGAACUAUCUGUCAAAGCCUACAGCUUGAGCUUUAAUCUCUUUCUUCUUAGGUGUCUUCUUGGUUUCUUCUCCUUUCAGCUUGCCAUUCUCAAUGAUUUCGUCUGAGAUCACCGUGUCAGUAAAAUUUUUUGUGGCAUUCCCUAUCAUCCCUUCAUAAUAGAGGGAUUUCAAAAUACUGACAAACAAUACGGUGGUCUCUUUUUUAGUCAAAAGAGAUUACACUUGAGAAGCAAUAUCCCUCCACCAUUGGGCAUAUUCUUUGAAUGAUUCAGUUGCUUUUUUAUUCAUAUUCUGUAAAAAAAGAUGAUCAAUGACCAAGUCUAUUAUAUGCUGGUAUCGACUAAUGAAAGAAUAAGUCAUAUCGCUCUAAGAACCAAUACGAUUCAUGUCUAACUGGACAUACCACCUAGCAGUAGAGUCAGUGAGGUUGUCUUAGAAUGCAUGCAUCAAGAGCUUUUCAUUAUUGGUAUGGGCAGUCAUUUUUCGACAAUACAUAAUAAUGUGAAUUUUUGGACACUUUGUACCAUCAUAUUUCUCAAACUUUAGCACCUUGAAUUUGGAAAAAUAACCAUAUCAGGAACUAAACAGGGCCCAGCAGUAUCAACUGAGCUAUAAAAACUAACUCCUUCCACUGCUCGUAACGUUUUCUNNNNNNNNNNNNNNNNNNNNNNNNNNNNNNNNNNNNNNNNNNNNNNNNNNNNNNNNNNNNNNNNNNNNNNNNNNNNNNNNNNNNNNNNNNNNNNNNNNNNNNNNNNNNNNNNNNNNNNNNNNNNNNNNNNNNNNNNNNNNNNNNNNNNNNNNNNNNNNNNNNNNNNNNNNNNNNNNNNNNNNNNNNNNNNNNNNNNNNNNNNNNNNNNNNNNNNNNNNNNNNNNNNNNNNNNNNNNNNNNNNNNNNNNNNNNNNNNNNNNNNNNNNNNNNNNNNNNNNNNNNNNNNNNNNNNNNNNNNNNNNNNNNNNNNNNNNNNNNNNNNNNNNNNNNNNNNNNNNNNNNNNNNNNNNNNNNNNNNNNNNNNNNNNNNNNNNNNNNNNNNNNNNNNNNNNNNNNNNNNNNNNNNNNNNNNNNNNNNNNNNNNNNNNNNNNNNNNNNNNNNNNNNNNNNNNNNNNNNNNNNNNNNNNNNNNNNNNNNNNNNNNNNNNNNNNNNNNNNNNNNNNNNNNNNNNNNNNNNNNNNNNNNNNNNNNNNNNNNNNNNNNNNNNNNNNNNNNNNNNNNNNNNNNNNNNNNNNNNNNNNNNNNNNNNNNNNNNNNNNNNNNNNNNNNNNNNNNNNNNNNNNNNNNNNNNNNNNNNNNNNNNNNNNNNNNNNNNNNNNNNNNNNNNNNNNNNNNNNNNNNNNNNNNNNNNNNNNNNNNNNNNNNNNNNNNNNNNNNNNNNNNNNNNNNNNNNNNNNNNNNNNNNNNNNNNNNNNNNNNNNNNNNNNNNNNNNNNNNNNNNNNNNNNNNNNNNNNNNNNNNNNNNNNNNNNNNNNNNNNNNNNNNNNNNNNNNNNNNNNNNNNNNNNNNNNNNNNNNNNNNNNNNNNNNNNNNNNNNNNNNNNNNNNNNNNNNNNNNNNNNNNNNNNNNNNNNNNNNNNNNNNNNNNNNNNNNNNNNNNNNNNNNNNNNNNNNNNNNNNNNNNNNNNNNNNNNNNNNNNNNNNNNNNNNNNNNNNNNNNUCAAUCAGUGGCAUCAAUGCUCCUAAUUCUCAGCUGCAACUUAAGCGGAAUCAACAACAGCAACAGCAGAUGCUUCAGCUUCAGAAGCUGCACCAAUUUGGGGCUGCUCCUGCUCCCCAAAGUAAGACACCAGCAAAAAGUAAUGGAAGUGCUUAUUCUGAUCACCUUCCUUCACCAUCUAUGCCUGCCAGGUUUCCAAAUGCCCUGUCUGCAUAUCCUCAAAAUCUAGUGCAAAGCAGUGGCAGUUCAGCUCAGUCUCCUCAAUGGAAGAAUUCUAUGAGGACAGCUAUCUCUCAAGUUCCUUCUGCAUCUCUAUCUUCAACUUCAUCAUCCCUCAAGAAUAUUCCCCCGCAACAAGGUCGGCCACAGCAAAGCCACACACACAUUUCUUUUGCUGCUAAUUCUAAAUCAACACAAGGCCAACAGCCUACUGGUAGUACUCCAUCCCCUCUCAUCCUAUGAUGGUUGGCUCUCCCUCAACUUCAAUCUCCAGGAGUGCUGGUGGUAGCCCAAGGACAGCUAGUCCACUGUCUACUGGGCAAACAAAGGUGCCAAGCAUCUAGUUUAUCGACUCAGCAGGCCAAGAACUCACCUUCAGUGCCUAGUCUGAAGUCAUCUCCUGUCGGUGGAAGGAGUGUGCCAUCCAUCCUGGAAACCCUCACAUUAGUUCAUCUUCAAAUUACUGUAACCAAGCCCCAAGUGGCGCAACAGCAGCAGCAUCAGCAUCAGCAUCAAAAGCAUGCCAUUGCAUCAAACGCAGAUGUUAUUUUCUAAUGCUUUCAUGCAGGGCCAAGUUCAAAAACUCAGCAAGUGCAACAGCUGCAAGUGGGUACUGAUCUUCAAAAACACCGCAAUGAGCAACAGCACACACAGCCUCCAAGCUCAUCAACAACUUCAAUGGUUGUCGAUGUGUUCUGCGGUUACUCUUGCCAACACUGGCACCACUGACCCUGCAAAGGCCAGUAGUUGCCUGCUUGCUGCAGGCAAUAUGAAAGGAGGUGGCUUAGCGUCACAGGGACUUAUCCAUGCUGCACAAUUUGCUACUACUCAGUCCCUCUGGAAAGCCGCAUCAGUAUGUGCCAGGCUUCCCCAUUUGUUCAUGCUGUCCCUGCUGCUGUUCAGGUAAAACCAGCAGAUCAACCUGCUGGUGAGUAGAAUUAUGUUCCUUUUUGCUUCGUAUACAAACCCCAUAUAGUGAACAAGAAACAGAUUCAGCAACAAAAAGAGAUUUAGUUAGAUUGGGUACUGAAGAUUUAUGAAGGGGACACUGGUUUUCUUGCCCAGAAAUGACAUUAUGCGCUCUGACACAGCCCAACAAGACUUGACAAAAUGCAAAAGCGGAGGUGAUUGAAAGCUAUCACGUGGCAUAGAACUCACUCAACCACAAUUUUGCAAAGAUUAAUGCAGUGGUGGGGAAUUGUUCCUUGUAAAUUGUGCCUUGCAAUGUGUAUCCAACAUAUUUAUGUAAUCUUGUGUUUAUAACCUGAGAAGGUUGAUCCUGGAGUCUCUAAUUAAAUUUGAUUGGUUUGGUGGGCAGAAGAUGGAGUCAAAAAUGUUUUGUAGGGCAAAAGAAGAUGGUAGGGAUGAGGAAAAGAAAGGAAGAGCAACACCUACUUUUCCAUCUUUUGGGGCUGUAAUGGAGGUUCUUUUUCUUAUGAUUCUCUUCUUUUCUUUUAGGAUUUUGAAUUUUCCAAGAUAGAUGACUCAACAAAUCUUUUGACAUAAUAUUUAUGCAACUGAAAGGUGUAUAUGUAUUUGUCUAUCACAUAUAAGAGUAACCCUCUUAGAUUUUUUUUAUAUAACUCUCCAUUUUGAUUAUGUGCCUCUUUGGGUAAUAUGCCUUACUUUUAACUAGUCUUUUACUACUUGAUUAAAUUAUUUUCUGUACAUUUUAUUUACUGGGCUCAAAGAAAAUUUCGUUUAGAAUUUUCUGCCGCAACAAGGAAUAUUCUGAGACAGAAGUUUGUUUUAUGUUUUGAUUGUUGUGUGUGGUGAUAAAAAGAGAUAGAUAUUGUGUGCUGGCAAAUAAGAUAAGAUGGAUGAAUUUGAGCCAACUGACCAACUUUAAAGCAAAAAAAAAGUUAAUAUAAUACAAACAUACAAAACUCAUUUCUCUUCUGUUCGGCUUCAAAUCCAACCUCCAAUAAAAUGUUGUCGAAAAGGGUACCUCUCUUUAUUGCAAGGAUCCUAACUUUAUCCUUGUUUUUUUCUUGUUGGAUAUAUUUAGAGCAAUAUUUCAUUUUGUUUACUAAAUUCAUUAUAGAUACACAGAUAGAAUGGAUAAUGGUUUUCUUUUUUUUUAAUUUGUUCUUCCACUCCUUCAAUGUGGGUCCCAAACAAAAGAACAAAUGUUGGCCCUCAGUGGAAACCUCCUUCCAGAAAGUGUAGGAUGCCACCCUUCCUGUAAGGAUGACUUUUCAAGAUGCCCUCAUCUUCCCUGUCUCUUUUGCUGUUGUUAUUUUUCUUUUUAUACCUUUAUAAUAAUAAUAAAGAAAAUAAAAUAAAUACCAACAUAUUGAAAAAAAACAAAACUAAAUGAUCCUUACUUCAUAGAUCCGCCGUGUGGUUUUCAGUUUUCUAUAAAAUUUGGUGUUGCUGUUGAUGUUGACCCCACCAUAUAAAGUAAAUACUGCUACAGGGCCACUUCCCACAAAAGGGGAAAAAAAAUUCAAGUGGGGUCUACUAAUAAAAUAAGAUUAACUUAACCCAGAAUGGUUACGAUCAGAAAUAUUUGGACGAUUGCAAUCACUUGAUUGCAUCAUUUUGAUAAACAUAAAAAAAAUAAAAAAAAUUUAUUUUUUUAAAGAAUGAAAAAUGUUUUUGAAUCAUAAUUAAAUAAUUAUUUAAAAUUUUAAAAUUUUAUUAUAAUUAAUUAAGUUUUUAAUUUUUUAUUUUGGUUCACUUGAAUCUUUAAUUAAAUAAAAUUUUGUUAUGUGAUAAAAUUAAAUCAAUCAACUAUACUUCAUUGAACUCUUAAAAUUAUCUUAAAAAAAAAGUGAAAAGAAAACAAAAAAAAAAUUAUUUUAUUUAAUUAUCAGAUAUAUUAAUUGUCAUGUGAUAAAUUUUUAUUUUUUUAUUAAUGUCGCAUGGAAUUUUAUUUUAAUUGGUAAAAAAUUUUUUGUUAAAUUUUUAACCAAAUAAGAAUUUAAUUGAAUAUAAAUAAAUAUUAAAAGAAUUAAUUAAUUUUAAUAAAAAAUAUAAACUUAAAUAAUUUUUUAAUUAUAAUCAGGAUUUUCUUUAAUGAUCUUUAGCCCCUUUUUGUUUUGUUUUUUUUUUUCUCGAGCGACAAAAGGAAUCAUUUAAUGGAAAGAGUAGCUUAAAGCGCCAAAUGAACUAAUUGAAUUUAGAUAAGAUUAUUUUGGGCCGAAUAAUUUUGGAUUGAAAGAAAUUUGAGCUGUUUUAGAUUUAAAUUAUUUUGAAAAUCAUUUUAAUUCAAUAAUUGGGUCAAUGAAUGAGAGCAAUUUUCAACCUCCUUUCUAAGGUAAACCACAUCUUUGAGUAUUAGAUUUAGGGAAAAUAAUUAAAAAAAAAAGAAAUAAAACUUUAUGAUUAUGUAUGCAUUAAAAAAAGAAAUAAACUUUAUGAUUACAACAAUUUAUACAUUAAACAAAAAAAAAUGCAUCAUAUUUUAUGAAAUUAGUUGUGCGGAUGGGUUGAUUAUGAUUAUGCAUGCAAUAAACUUUUGUUCUUGGAGGGGAGGUACUUGAGGUAGGGGGCCCGGGCCAAGUUAUAUUUAAAUAUUUGGAAAUCAUAUUUCCCUUUGUUAAGAAAAAUUAAUACUGAAAAUCAUGAGAUACUUAGAUGCAAGAGGUUGAAUUGUGAAACAUAUCACAUCUUGAACAGUGGCUGACCACAAAAUGUGCACGCUCACAAAACUAAAUUUCUAAUUCGAGAGUACGAUUGCAAUGAGAAAAGUUAUAGCACGCUCACAGAGCUCAACGAAAGGAUGAAACGAUUUGAUUUUAAGUUAUCUAAGCUUAAAACAUAUUUAUAGUUAUGAAAUAAUUUAAUAUUGAAAAUUUUCUUAAUUACUUCAAUAUGUAGGUAAUAAUUUAAUAACAUUUUCUCACCUCAAGAAUAUUUAAGGACACUAUUUGUUUUUUAGAAGAGGCUUCAUCAUCGGAUUCAUUAAUUUUUUUUGUAAAAAAAUUUUUCAUUUGGGAUAAUGAGAUUUAGAAUCUUGAUAUCGAAAUUUUUAUCUACAUUCUCCAAUAUGUUAGUAAAAUUUAGAGAAAGAUUUUUUUCACCUAAGAAUUUGUAUAGAGAUUGCUAUUUGUAAUGCUCUUAAUAAUUUAUUAUCAGAGAUUCAAAAUUUAUUUUUAUAAAUAAUUUAUUUUUAAAAAUAUAUUUUAAUAUGUUGGUAAAAUUUUCUGUUAAAGAAUAUCCUACAUUAUGUUGGUAGGAUUUUAUGAAAAUUAUUAAAAAAAAACUUAAUAAUCAUAAGAUUCUCCAAUAUGUUGGUAAAACUUUAUAAAACCACGAGUCCUCCAAUAUAUUAAUAAAGCUUUUUUUUUAAAUCAUUUUAUUAUUUUUUGAAACUUAAACCUUUUAAUAUGUUGAUAAUGAUUUUUUUUAUUUUAAAAAUAUUUUUAUAAAAAUAUUUAUAAAUGAAUAACAAAUAUAAAUAAUUAAAUAAACAAACAAAAUAAAUAAAAUAAAAUUAAUUCUCAAAAUUCAGCUUGGUUUGGUGGCUUGGAAUCGUGGCUCAACUUAGGCACAAAAGCUGGCUGGAAUGGCUUGGUUAAGACAGCUUGGCUUGGCUUGAGAGGAGCUGUUGGAACCAGUUGCAAAUUGGGUAACGCAACAAAUCGGAUCUGGGUAUGGGUAUGGGAAACACGUGGAUCCUAAUGAACUCUGGAUCCAAAACGAUGCCAUUUAACACCAAUAUAGAAGGCAAAACUUUUGUUUUUUGUUUCAGAUUUCCUUACACUCUCUCUAGCCCUUUUUCUCUUUGCUUCUCUCUAUAGAAAAACAUAAACACUGGUGGCCAAAAACUGGGAACUAGUCGGAUUCUGUAAAACUCAUCGGAAUCUCACUAGAAACUUCAAUUUUAGUCAAAAAAAUUCAAUUAAAAAAUUAAAAAAUUCAUCUAAUUUUCAAAUUUUUUUAAAAAUUCAAAAAGAAAUGCAAAAAAAUAAAAAUAAAAAUAAAAUCACCUUCCUUGCCUCCCAGAAACUGCCUUGACUGAAUUACUCCACAUUUCCCAAAUUUCCUAAAAUUCAAAACCUUAUUGUCAGAAAAAACUCUCUUGAAACUGUGUAAUUUUUUUGUAUCCUUUUUACCUAUUUUCCUAUUCGUUGCUGAGUGUGGAAUGGGGUUUAUUAGGGAUCCAAUUCCCUUCAAAUUUGGAAGAAUUACUUUGACCGAAUCCUUGAAUUUGUAAUGAUUUGAUCUAAGCAAUUUGAUUUGAUUUAUGACUUUCUUUUUUCAUUAAGAUCUCCAAAAAUCAUUUAAUCUGCAAUUGAUUUCCCCUUAUAAAAUCCAUGAUUUAAUUUCCAUAUUGGAAUUUAUGAAAUUAAUGCAAGACCCUUCAUGAUUUCCCCAGAUUUCAACAUGGUUUUUUUUUCUUAUUUUUUUUUAAAUAAUAAUAUAAAAAUUAUAUACUUGGACUCAAAGCCCAGUCAAUAAUUGAACAGUUCAAAGAUUGAUCAAUUCAAUACCUAAUAGGCAAACUGAAAGAUCAUACUUAAACCAUAAGAAACCUUUCAUUCAUCAUGAAAAAUCAUGACUUUUGUACAGAUCAUUCAAAUGCCUUGUAUGGUCAUUCAAAUAUCAUUUUUUUUUUUUUUUUUUGUUUCCAUAAUGCAAACACAAAGUUAGAUGCCUUGAAUACGGCAUUCAAAUGCCCUGACCAGACUUUUUAAACAGAAAGGUAGAAUUCAGAUGCUCUUAAUGGAGAAUUUGGAUGCCCUUGCUAGAACUUAAAAAUCUAUCUCUACCUAGCUUUAAGUACAUUCCAAGUUUAAUCUUAGAUUUCUUAUUUCCUUAAUUAUAUUAAUAAUCUUUAAUAUUUUGAAAAUCAUUUCUAACAUUAAUAAUAUUUGUUUAUGAUUAUCUUUUAAUUUUUUUAGAAAUUGUCAUAACUUUUUUUUUAAUGUCAUAACUUUUUUUUUAUAUUAUAACACUUCUUACCAAUUUUAUGCAAAUACAAAUUUUACGUCAUCUCUCACCUAUUAUUACGUUACUAUAUUUUUUUGUUACUUAUUACCUAUUUUUCUUAUAUCUUGUAAAAAUAAUAAUUAUUUAAAAUUUUACGUUUUAACUUAAUUAUUUAUGUUAUAAUAAUAUGUUUUCAUAAUUAUUCUUACAUUUAUUACAUUUAGAAUUAUAAUAGCUAUGUUACGACACUUCUUAUCUAUUUUAUACCAAAUAAUUUGAAUUUUAUGUUUUCUCACAUUUGCUUACUUUACCUAUAUUUUUUAUUAUUUUAUAUUUUUUUUAUAUUUACAUGAAUGAAUAAUUAAUUAUAAAAUUUUAUGUUGACAACUUUAUUAUAUUCACAUUACAAUAAGUUCUUAUGUUUGUUAUUAUAUUCUAUUACAUUUAAUUAUUAUAACUCUUUUAUAGAUGUUAGAACACUUCUAACCCAUUUUAUGCCAAAUAUUAUGAAUUUUACAAUUCCUCUCACUUGCUUAUGUUAAUAAAUUAUUUAUUAAUUUUUUAUUCUAAAAUAUCAUUUCUCUUUUUUUUUUUUUUAUCUUGCAAAUAUUUUUUAAGCCAUUUUUCUUAUAUAUUUUCAAGAAAAUAAUUAAUUUAAAAUUUUAUAUUACUAACUUAAUUAUUUAUGUUAAACAAUAUCUUUUGAUGCUUAUUCUUAUAUUCAAUUAUAUUUAAAUUUUUUAUAACUUGUUUUUAGUGUAUGUUGCAACACUUUUAAACUAUUUUACAUCAAUUAUAAUUUUAUUAUUCCUUCAUAUGUUUAUGUAAUAAUUUUUAAAAUAUUUUAUUUUUUAAAAAAUUCUUUUAUAUUGUUUUUCUUAAAGUAUAUUUUAUGUUAAUAUUUUAUUAAUUUGUGUAUAAUUAUUUUUUUAUUUUAUAAUGCUCUUUAGCUAUUUUAAAACACAAAUUACUUUAAAUUUAUUAAAAAGAAUAUUUUAAUUAUUAUUUUUUUAUUUUAAUUAAUUGCAUAAACAAUUAAUAAAGUGGAAAAUAAAAAACUAUCACCUAAAAUUGAAAAUCCUUUAAAUUUUGCAUAGAACAUUAAAAUUUUGCAAAAAAUAUUUUAAAUUUUGUUUAGCAAUCUCAUUACUUGAUACAAAAAGAUUAACCUUUCUUUCUUCAUUUUGAAAUUGGUCAAUGGUUGAUAUUUAACUAUAUAAAAUUAAUGAUUAUUAUUUGUUAAUCUUAUUAUAAAAUUAUAAAAUGUAAACUUACCAUAUAAGUUCCUGUUAUAAAUAUAAAACACAAGUUCACACUUAUAGUUUAGAUUUGUGUUAUUCAUUUUUAGAGCUGUCAGAACUGAUUCGAAUUUAAAAAAUUCAUUCAAUUUGUUUAAACUCAAACAUAACUUAAUUCAACUGGAUUUGACUAAAAAAAGUGAUCAACCCGAAUUUGUGCAACACAAACACGAAAUUAAUUUUAAUUCAAAAUCAUUUAAAUUCAAAACAAUUCAAAAAAAAAAAAACCUAUAAUUGAAUUAAUUCAAACUCGAAUAAUUCAAAUGAUUGAUAUAAAAUGAUUUGAACUUAAAUUAAGUAUGAUUUAUUUUAAAAAAAUUAGUUUAAUAAAAAUAGUAAAAUAAAUAAAACAAAAUUAAAAAUCAAAUAAUAUUUAACUUUAAAAUUAUUUUAUAUAUUUUUAAAGCAUUUAGUCUUUAGAGAUUUUUUUAAUUAAAAGUAUCCUCUUAGUUACGAGUGAAAAGCUUGAAAAAAAAUAUUAUAACUAAAUUCAAUUUCUAUGAUAAUACCCCAUAAAUAAAAAAGUUUUUUUAAAAUUUUUUUACAAUUAUACGUCAUAGAUAAUUUUUUUAUGAUAUCAAAAUGAAAAUUAAAAAUAUAUUACAAGUUGAUAAAAUGUAACAUUAAAAAACUUUAUUACAAUUACAUAAAAUAUUAUUGAUUUUAUUGUAACAUUAAAAUCUUUCAAUUAGAUAAAAUGUAACAUUAAAAUCUUAUUGAUUUUAUCCAAACAAUUCUUUCAAAAUUCAAUUUGAUUUAUUUUUAAAAAUUAGUAACUUAAAUUCAAAGCAAUUCGAAUUAAAAAAUUUAAAUUUUAAAAUGAAUCAAAUUUAAAAUAAUUCAAAUUCAAAAUAAUUCAGAUUUAAAAUAACAUAAAUAGAAAAACAUCUUAAUUUUUUUUACCUAAAAUAAUCGUAUCCGAAAUAAUCCAAUUUAAUUGAGAUCCGCUUGUCUGCCACCUUUGUCCGUCUCUUCAUUUAUUUAUUUAUUUAUUCAUGAUUUGGCUUUUAUUUGAGUAUUGCAUAUUCGAAUCAAAAGGGCCCCGCUCCACCGUUAUAGGGGUAGGUACCUCAGCCAGAUUUCGGUGGUAGGUGCCACUGCCCUCACUUCAUCUCACAGGGUUUUGGGAUAGACUGCAAUAUGCACGUGAGUUUGUGUGGAGGUCCCGUCAGGUUACUAUUAAAAAAAUAUUUAUUUUUAUUUAUUUUGAGCUCAAAAGUAUAAUUAAAAAUAUAAAUGAUACAUUAAUACUCAUAAAUUAUUAAGAUUCGAUUCAAAUAAAGUUCAAAUUUGAUUCAAUUAUUAUUGAAUUGAGUUCGAACUCGAGUAAUUUAAUUUAUCGAUUGAAUCGAGUUCGAAUAUUCUUAUACCUGAUUCAAGUAUUUGGUAAGUCUAAUCAAAUUUUUAUAUUUAAUAUAUUUUUAUUAUUUUAAUUAAUAAAAUAUCUCAAAUUUUAAUUUUAGUUUGAGCACAAAUAAUCGAAUUUUUAUCGAAUAUAUGAAUCGAAUUAAUUUUUAUAUAUUAAUUGAACUUAAUGAAACGAAUUUAAAUAGUUCAAUUUCGAUCACGAAUCAAACUCGAAUUAAAAAAAUAAAAUUCGAUCAAAUUCAAAUUAAAAAUUAAAUUAUGAGUUAAAAAUCAAAUUUAAACUUAAUUUUUUAUUAUAUUAACUCGAUUUAAUUCUAUUAAACCUAGACAUAAUAAUAAAAAUAGAAAGAGAAACGUGGUCCCUAUGCGAAUGCGACAAGCUAGUUUAGUCUUAUUCAAUAAGUUAGGAAUGAUUUUGUCUUUGAACAGUUGUACAAUGUUAUUUUCGUAAUUUUCAAAGUAUUUUUGAAGUAAUUUAAUAAAAUUUGUUAACAUAUUAUUUAUAAAACCAUUUAUACACUAAAAUUGAAACUACGAUCAGUAAAAAAAAUAUUGUAUUGAAUGAAAAUUUUUUUCCAAUAUAACCUUGUCAGCAAAAAAAAUUUAUCAAUGAAUUAUUAAUUUAACAAUAUUAAUAAUAAUUUCAGAAUUAAAAUUUUUGAAUUUAAAUUUUAAUGAUAAAAAUUUUAUCUUAAAAUGAUUGUUUUAAAAAUGAUUGUUAGGCUAACAAUUUGAUAGCAUUAGGGAAUAGGGUAAAGUAAGCCUCUUCAAAUGUAUAAUAUGGAUGAAUUUGGAAUGCCAAAAUUUUAUUUUCGUUAACUUUUUUAGAGAUUUCAUUAAAAUAGGAUUAAUCAUGCUUUUCACUUCCAGCUUUCAUAUUCUUUUCUUUUGAACAGUUAACUUUUUUUCUUUCAAGAAUUUUCUCAGCCACUUUCUUUCCCAACUUUCUUGGAAUUUCUUUAAAAAAAAAAAAAAACAGUGCAAACAAAUUGAAUCAAAGUCCUUAAAAAUGGAAUCCCUAAUACUGUACUUAUCUCAAACUUGUUAGUUAACACUACUACUUGCCAAUUACUAUCUGUUCUUCAAGCCUGUCCCUUUAAUUAUAAUUUGGGGAUUUACAAUUGUGAAAAGCACUCAACCCAAAUACUUAUUAUCAAUGCUAGACAAGUAAAAAGUUUGAAACUAUGAAUUAAGUUUUUAGUACAAUUUAUGCUUAAUAAUAAAAAAUUUUUCAACUAAAAUUAAAUAAUCAUUUAAGCAUUAUCGUUUUACGACAAUCAACUGAUCUCUCAAAUAUUUAUAUUUACUUAAUUGAGUUCUUAUUGGAUGAAAAUUGAUUAACGGUCGAUAUUUAUUUUAAUCUAAUUAAAAGUUUAAUUAAAUUAAAAUAAAUGUUUAAAAUUUCAAUUUAAUAAAAAUAAAUAUUUGAGAGUUUAAUUAAUUACAAUAAAAUGAUUGUAAUAAAAUGAUAGUGCUUGAAUGUUUAUUUAAUUUUAAUUCAAGAGUUUUUUGUUUAAUUUAUGAAUCAACAUCAAAACAAAAACCAAAAUUCCAAUACAUAAAUAAUUUAAAAUACCAUGGUCAUUUAACUCUUAUAUAUAUUAGUUUAAAAUUUUCCAUCUCAAUAUCUUAAAGGACUAAAAUAAUAAAAAAAAAUUCAUAAACUUUAUCAUUUUAUUUUAAAUAAAUCUUUAAUUAUUUUUACAUUCAAAUAAGUAUUUAACAUUUACUUUGUAUCUAAAUAAAAUUUUAAUUUGUAUAAAAAAAAAGUCUUUAAACAUAAAUCAAAAUUAUUUGAAAUAAGAGUUUAUUUAUAUAUAAUUAAAAUAAGAAUUUAUUUAAGUAUAAUAAAAAUAUAAGAAUUUAUCUAAAUAAAUAAUAAAAUUCCAAAGUGUUAUAUAUAUAUUAUAUAUAUAUAUAUAUAUUUUUAGCCUUCCUAAAACUUAAAGCCUGCAUGGUUUGUAUUUAGGAUAUAUAUUAAUAUAACCCUAAACUGCGAAUAAUGUUUUAUUUUUAUUUUCUUUGCUUCAAUGUAUGUAAGAAGUUUUUUUUUUUUUUUUUUGUUUUUUUAACAUCCUAACAAAGACCAAGAGGGAAAUGUGAUUCCAACCUUAAUUUAAUUUUAAUUUUAUUUAUUUUUUGUGAGAUACGAAGAGAAAAGGGGUUAAAUUUGAACCUCUGUACUCUUCAAGAGAAUACAAGUAACAACCAUUAAGAGGGGUAAGGUUUUUUUUUUUUUUUUUAAUUUUAUAAAAAAAGUUGUAGGUUCGAAAAUAAAUAAAAUAAUUGAAAGUAUUAAAAACUAAAAUUAAAAUUUAAUAAAUAUUAUUUUUUUUAAAAAUAAUUAUAUGAAUCAAUUAAAUUAAAUUAAGUUUUAAUUUCUAAGCAAUCAUAAUUGAUUUAACAAAUAUCAAGCAAAAUUAGUAAAAAAAAAAAAAAACAAAAACUCAGAUAUCAAGCAAAAUGCAAGUUGUUUAAGAUCAUUUUUCAUUUUAAUAACUAUCAAUUAACAUGAUUAAACUGGCCAAAUUUUUUUAUCAAUUCAAGAUUUUGCAAUCCAAAAAGUCAAUAUUAUUUGGGAAAAGUGAAUUAUAAAAAAAAAAAGCAAACCAAUAUUUUAUGUAGAUAAACCUUUUCUCCUUAUAUAUUUUAAAGCAUUACACACUCCCAAGCCUUUUUUUAAUACAUGAAAUUUUAUUUAUUCUAAUUCAAUAAUUGUCGUUAUUCUAAGAAAUGAUUCUCCACGAAUGCCAAUAUAUAAAAUAUAUAUUAAUAAUUUAAGGAUAAUUUAGAAAUUGUGAUUUUUGAUAUAUUCUCAGUCUCCAACUUUUAAAAACACCAGAAACUUGGUCUAACAAAUAAUGUUUCUCCUCUUAGGUAUUGGUGAAAGUGAAUUAAUCAUGUUGCUUCAAAAAUAUUUUACGAUGCCAACAAAUUAAUGCCAGUUCUGUAUGGACAGGUUGUUCAAAUCAUGAUUAUCAAAAGCCAAAUACAUUAAAUAAUUAUUUGUUUUUUAUUCUUUAGGCCAGAUUGGCAUAAAUUAUGAAUGCUUAAUGACAACACUGUAUCAUAAUUAGCAUCAAUUAAUUCACAAGUAUAUUAAAAAAAUAAAAGUAUUUUAGACUUUAUUUUUAGGCUAAAAAAAUAAUAAUAAAAAAAAAACCUUUAAACUUUUAAUUUGCAUUCAAAUAAAUUUUUAAUUUUUAAUUUGUAUUCAAAUAAAAUUUUAAUCUUUAAUUUAUACUUAAAUAAAUAUUUAAUCUAAAUAAAAUUUUAUUUAAAUAUAAAUCAAAAGAUAAAAUUUAUUUAAGUAUAAAAAAAUAUAAAAAUUUAUUUUAAAAAUAAAAUAAUUAAUGUCUUUAAUAUCUUAACCCUAUUUCUAUAAUUCCCUUCAUUCUCUUUAGGUGUAAGGGAGAAUUUUUGGUUAAUGGAGGUUUAGGUCAUUGCUCCUAAUUCAAUAUUUUAUUCAGCCUCUUUCAACACAAAAUAUAAUUUCAUUUUUCCAUAAACAAGACAAUUGUGAAUUGUCUUUUAGUUGGCCAUAACCUCCUUAUUAGUUAAUCAACUCCCAGAUUAACGUUAGUUUAUUACCUUGUAAGGCUAAAGACCAGAGUUCAGAGUCAAGCACACACAAACUCCAAUGUUUUCAAUGUUGUCUGUCUGUUAUUUUAUUACUUAAAAUUCAGUUAAAAGUUGAAAUUUAUUGUAUAAAUGACAAUAUUGAUGACAUCAUGCUAUUUUUUCUUACAACAUUUUGAGUAUUAUUAAAAGCUUAAAGUGGAAGCCAGAUGCCUACCAUAUCCCCACUAAUGCAAAUUGAAUAAUGAUUUUCUAGAACUUGGAAGCAAUAAUCAGGAAAAUCUUUCAUACGCAUAUAAUGCAAUAAUGACUGGAGAUAGAACGCAAAGCUGGGAGUUUAAGGGAAGGCAGAUAGUUUUUCUUGGAUUGCCAAAGAAUAACGAGAUUCCAAAUUUCCCACCUCAAACAGUACUUAAUAAUGGCAGAAGAACAGCCCGAAACAAUGAUUUCCCCAGCAUUACACAGGACAGGAUAGAUAACCUGUAGCUUCUCUUGUCUGUGUUCUGUCCGUGUUCCUAUUUUUUUCUAUACAAGUUCUAACAUGGAAGUAACUUCAAUGGUAAUUUAUGAAUGAGCAUUAACUUGUAGUUCACUUACGCUACUUGCAAACAAAGAAAAAAAAAAAGGACGAUGCGGAGCAGUGUAGCCACUUCAUCGAAACAAAAACAGUCAAACUCCUAAUCUGAUCGUGUCGAAGCAGGUAACUUCUCCUCUAGCUGCUUAUCCUGCUGCUUCUUCAGAUACCUCUGAGCAGUUGCAUUGACAAUCUUGACAAAGAAGUUUAUGAGCAUAAGCCAGACAACAAUGUUCCAGAUCAAAGCAAACGAAAAAUCCCACUUCUCCUGCAGCACAAUUUUGUAGAGCAGAUUUAUAAUUGUCAGAUUUGACUAGGCUCUAUUUCCAUAGUGGGUGCUAGUCAGUUAAACUCACUCUAAAAUGGAUAGAUCUUUUGUACUGGCUUAAUGGAGUACCUUAAUAUUUGAAGGCAUGGUACGUGGGGUGGCCAGGUACUUCUCUUUGACUGCAUGGAGUUUUGCUGUGAGUGUGGGCAAGAAAGCAUCCAAUCCAGGUAUGAGGCUAAGCACCCAAAUCAAUUCAUUCUCUAUCCAGUCCAGGAGUUGAUUAUUACAGACAGAGAUAAUAAAAACCGUCUGCAGAAAAAGAAUCAAAUAGGUACUUAAAACAUGCUUGAGCAGGCUGGACUUGCAAAAUAAGAAUCAGGAAAAUCUAGCUUCAUCAAGACAAUAGGAAACAGAGAAGGUUGUCAUUCUCUGGCAGUAGUCAAUUCAACCUAAAUCAUUUGAGAGUUGAGACAUUUUGGCCAAUGCCAAUGCCAAUACCAAUACCAAAAGCAAAACAAUGAAGUAUAAACACAAAACAGCUCGAUUGAGUAGAAGCAGAAAAAAGUGAAGUCAACUGAGACUCUUUUUGCAUGUAAAACACAAAGAGAACAUCACAAACCUGUAUGUGAGUUUUAAUAAUUGCCUUUCCAAUCAAUGUUGCGAGAAAGAACUUCCAGAAUGGAAUCCCAAACUGUCCACACAUGAUGCCAGCAAGGUCAAAUAAAGGAUUUGGGACCUGAAACAUAAUUCAGUUCAUCAGCAGGUUUACAUGGUAACAUCAAUCAACAAUGGCAUAAAUAGCGUUUAUAAACCAUGGUCAAUUUAUAUGAUCUUUAAAUGAAAAUAAUUAACAAGGCUUAGAGUUCAAAAACCAUUCAGGUUUCUCCAUUAUGCUAUCAAAAAAUAAUACCACACUUCAUAAUUGAUAGGUGGAAAUUUUCACAUUAAAUCUUAGGAACAAAAAUUUGCAGCAUGAGAAACUUUUACCAGAAUGGAUAUCAUUUAAGUAUGAUUUUACUCUGGAGAUAAUGCAUUAGAACAUUGAUAUUUUUAGGUCAACAAGUGCGUGAGGGUGUGCAGGUUUAAGUGUGCUUUUGUUCAUGUGCAUGCAGACAAAAAACAGGGAUAUCGUAGUCAGACAAACAAUAUGCACUAAAACGAAAAUGUCUAAUGCUGCAUAAUAUUUGGCAUUGUUCAAAAAUGUAGUGCUAUGAAAUGAAAAAGAUAAAAAUUACAACUGACCGAGGCAAGCACUAAAAUGGUGAAGAAGUUCAAAUGUUGGGAGUGGGAUAACAGCCAGUGUUUGAUCUGUUUUAGGUGAGUAGCAAUGACUCCAUUAUCCUCACUUGAGGAAGAAUUUAAUUCUUCCAGGGCAUCAAAUUUGCUACCUGAUAGACUAGCUGCAUAAAGCAGAAGAUCAAUGUAAGAUGGAUAUUUUAAUAGUAUGGAGUACAAGUAGAAAAUCUAAAUGGAUAUACAAUCUUCAGUAGACAACCAACAUUCAGACAAAGAAUAGCAACCCUAAAGUUCACAUAGAAAAUUCAAUCACCUACCAAAACAGAGUCAAAAGUGAAAGAAGGCAACUACAUUGCAAAGUCAAGCCAAUUUCAUCAAGAAACAACAUUUAAAACUUCAUGUUAUUAAUCAAAGGAAAACUUCAAACAUUAAAACUCUUCAAAUUACAAUACUCGUAGAGAGAGAACCGUAAUAAAUGCAAAGAAGAAGCAUCUUUUAUCCAGUAGCGAAGGGCUUGAACCAAGAUUUCUAGAUGGAUGGGGUAAGGUAUUAGUACAUCUAACACAUAAUUUAAAUGUGAGAAUUUGUCCUCUAAAAAAGGAAAUAUUGAAUGAAUUGAUUGGAAAUUAUGGGAUUUUGCGACUUCUUCC
rnacentral:lncRNA from 1 species